rnacentral:lncRNA from 1 species
CAUUCCCCUCCCACCCAGGGCAUCUGCAGCAUCGGCGAAGACAGCGAGACGCUUGUCCUACAGCGCCUCCUCCUGGACAAAGCUCCAGACAGCCGAAAAGGCACACACCACCAGCCCUAGAAAACUAGGCACUUCCUUCCUGGGGCAUCAGAAGUUGGUCCUGCCACGUCCACUGGAGAGGCAAAAAGGAGUCCAAAAGUCCUUGAGGCUACCUCUUACAGCCCCACCCCCAGCUCAGACAACAAGCCUGUGACCCAGAAGUGAACAUCUCUCGUUGAUUAGCCUUUCCAGAGACUGCACUCCCAGCUCUUGUGUUCACCCAAGAAGAAACCAAGGCCAGGACAUUGGCUCCCCAGUCUAUAAAUAGAGGUUUGGACCCAGGACGCUGGAAGUUUUGCCCACAAACCUUUAAGACACCCAAGGAUUCAGCAAACACCAAAGAUAUGGAGGACAGACGCUAGAUGUAAAUUCUUAUGCAGAGAAUUAAACAGUAUGUUAUUACAC